rnacentral:rRNA from 1 species
GAUGAACGCUAGCGGCAGGCUUAAUACAUGCAAGUCGUGGGGCAGCAGGUUUGUAGCAAUACAGAUGCUGGCGACCGGCAAACGGGUGCGGAACACGUACAGAACCUUCCUUCGAGCGGGGAAUGGCCCAGAGAAAUUUGGAUUAAUACCCCAUAGUAUAAUGAAGUGGCAUCACUUUAUUAUUAAAGAUUUAUCACUCGAAGAUGGCUGUGCGGCUGAUUAGGUAGUUGGCGGGGUAAAGGCCCACCAAGCCUGCGAUCAGUAACUGGUGUGAGAGCACGACCAGUCACACGGGCACUGAGACACGGGCCCGACUCCUACGGGAGG